AGGAACCAUUGAAGGAUUCUGUUACCCUAUCCCAGAAAGAGCAAGGGGACAACAUUGAUAUCCUAACUACUGGCCAUCCAGUACCACUUAAAGUUUUAAAAAGAAUAACAGAAAGAAACAAGUGGCUGAAGUCUAAAUACUAUAUGGUGAAGACAGCUAAUUGCCACAGUCUCCUCUUUGGUCUUUCCUGGUAUGUGGCAUGCAAGCUCACAGUUUGCGGACUUUGCACUUGCUGCUCUCUCCGCCUGGAGAUUUGAUUCCAGAUAGACUCCUGCCAACUCCUUCACCUUGUCCAGGUUACCUUCAUUAAAUGUCACCUUAAAUGUGUGCCUAUCCUUUCUCCUACCUAGAAUUGCAAGCACCUCUCACCACUGUACUCUCAUUCUCUUUAACUUGAGCCACUUUUAUUCUCAUAACAGAGCCACAUAUUUUUUCUGAUUAUAACAUAACCAUACUAUACAAUUUAUGUGUUAUUUCUGUUUGUUUAUUUAUUGUAUGUUUCUGUUCACAAGGAUGUAACUUCCAUGAAUACAGAGAUCUUUGAUUUUUUUAUUCACUGACCUAUACCAAAUAUUCAGAACAAUACCUGGCACAUAGUAGAUGUUUGAUAAAUAAUUUUUUUCUGAAUGAAUAAAUACAUUUUAGCCAAAUAUGUUUGUUUGGUUGUACUUAUGUGUAUGUGCAAGUAUGUGCACAAAAAGAAAGAAAUUGGUUAACACUAAAUCUACAAAAUGUGAAAAUUAAUGCUUACCUUAUAGUGUUGUUAUAAAACUCAACUAAUAUAUAUGAAAUGUUUAGCAUGAGAUGUGCAGCAUAGUAUGCAUUCAAUAAAUGGCAUUUUAUUUUAUUUACCAUCUGGUAGCCUAUUGUUGAAGGUAUGUUCUUCAACGUAUAAAUUAAGAUGUUUUAUUUCUUCCUUACAUCAAUUAUAGUCUAUUUGGUUCCUUCUAGAUAAAACCCUUUGAUGGACAUUUAAGCUGUGCCAACUUUUUACUAAUAGAAAUAUUUACAUUCUG